CAGAGGUGGCAAGCGUUGUUCGGAAUUACUGGGCGUAAAGGGCGCGUAGGCGGCCUUCUAAGUCAGACGUGAAAUCCCCAGGCUUAACUUGGGAACUGCGUCUGAUACUGGGAGGCUUGAAUGCGGGAGAGGGAUGUGGAAUUCCAGGUGUAGCGGUGAAAUGCGUAGAUAUCUGGAGGAACACCGGUGGCGAAGGCGGCAUCCUGGACCGACAUUGACGCUGAGGCGCGAAAGCCAGGGGAGCAAACGGGAUUAGAUACCCCGGUAGUCCUGGCCCUAAACGAUGAGUGCUUGGUGUGGCGGGUAUCGAUCCCUGCCGUGCCGAAGCUAACGCAUUAAGCACUCCGCCUGGGGAGUACGGUCGCAAGGCUG
rnacentral:rRNA from 1 species